AGUCGAGGGGCAGCAUGGUCUUAGCUUGCUAAGGCUGAUGGCGACCGGCGCACGGGUGAGUAACACGUAUCCAACCUGCCGUCUACUCUUGGCCAGCCUUCUGAAAGGAAGAUUAAUCCAGGAUGGCAUCAUGAGUUCACAUGUCCGCAUGAUUAAAGGUAUUUUCCGGUAGACGAUGGGGAUGCGUUCCAUUAGAUAGUAGGCGGGGUAACGGCCCACCUAGUCAACGAUGGAUAGGGGUUCUGAGAGGAAGGUCCCCCACAUUGGAACUGAGACACGGUCCAAACUCCUACGGGAGGCAGCAGUGAGGAAUAUUGGUCAAUGGGCGAUGGCCUGAACCAGCCAAGUAGCGUGAAGGAUGACUGCCCUAUGGGUUGUAAACUUCUUUUAUAAAGGAAUAAAGUCGGGUAUGCAUACCCGUUUGCAUGUACUUUAUGAAUAAGGAUCGGCUAACUCCGUGCCAGCAGCCGCGGUAAUACGGAGGAUCCGAGCGUUAUCCGGAUUUAUUGGGUUUAAAGGGAGCGUAGAUGGAUGUUUAAGUCAGUUGUGAAAGUUUGCGGCUCAACCGUAAAAUUGCAGUUGAUACUGGAUGUCUUGAGUGCAGUUGAGGCAGGCGGAAUUCGUGGUGUAGCGGUGAAAUGCUUAGAUAUCACGAAGAACUCCGAUUGCGAAG
rnacentral:rRNA from 1 species